UACGUAGGGUGCGAGCGUUAAUCGGAAUUACUGGGCGUAAAGCGUGCGCAGGCGGCGCCGCAAGUCAGGCGUGAAAUCCCCGAGCUUAACUUGGGAAUGGCGCUUGAAACUACGGUGCUGGAGUGUGGCAGAGGGAGGUGGAAUUCCACGUGUAGCGGUGAAAUGCGUAGAGAUGUGGAGGAACACCGAUGGCGAAGGCAGCCUCCUGGGCCAACACUGACGCUCAUGCACGAAGGCGUGGGGAGCAAACAGG
rnacentral:rRNA from 1 species